AUUGAACGCUGGCGGCAGGCUUAACACAUGCAAGUCGAGCGGUGACUUCGGUCCUAGCGGCGAACGGGUGAGGAAUGCUUGGGAAUCUGCCCAGUAGCGGGGGAUAACGUUUCGAAAGGAACGCUAAUACCGCAUACGCCCUACGGGGGAAAGGGGGGGAUCUUCGGACCUCUCACUAUUGGAUGAGCCCAAGUCGGAUUAGCUAGUUGGUGGGGUAAAGGCCAACCAAGGCGACGAUCCGUAGCUGGUCUGAGAGGAUGAUCAGCCUCACUGGAACUGAGACACGGUCCAGACUCCUACGGGAGGCAGCAGUGGGGAAUAUUGGACAAUGGGCGAAAGCCUGAUCCAGCCAUGCCGCGUGUGUGAAGAAGGCCUUCGGGUUGUAAAGCACUUUAAGCGAGGAGGAAUGGCUGAGGGUUAAUAACCUUCAGCAGUGACGUUACUCGCAGAAUAAGCACUGGCUAACUCUGUGCCAGCCGCCGCCGUAACAC
rnacentral:rRNA from 1 species